rnacentral:rRNA from 1 species
UACGGAGGGGGCAAGCGUUACUCGGAAUUAUUGGGCGUAAAGGGCGCGUAGGCGGUCGUGUGCGUCGGAGGUGAAAUCCCCGGGCUUAACCCGGGAGCUGCCUCCGAUACGGCAUGGCUUGAGUCCGGGAGAGGGGAGCAGAAUUCCCAGUGUAGCGGUGAAAUGCGUAGAUAUCUGGAGGAAUACCGGUGGCGAAGGCGGCAUCCUGGACCAUUACUGACGCUGAGGCGCGAAAGCUAGGGGAGCAAACGGG